GCAGCAGCCACGGGAAUACGUAGGGUGCAAGCGUUAAUCGGAAUUACUGGGCGUAAAGCGUGCGCAGGCGGUUAUGUAAGACAGAUGUGAAAUCCCCGGGCUCAACCUGGGAAUUGCAUUUGUGACUGCAUGGCUAGAGUGUGUCAGAGGGGGGUAGAAUUCCACGUGUAGCAGUGAAAUGCGUAGAUAUGUGGAGGAAUACCGAUGGCGAAGGCAGCCCCCUGGGAUAACACUGACGCUCAUGCACGAAAGCGUGGGGAGCAAACAGGAUUAGAUACCCCGCGUAGUCCCUGUCUCUUAUA
rnacentral:rRNA from 1 species